rnacentral:rRNA from 1 species
GCGUUAAGGUUAAUAACCUUGGCGAUUGACGUUACCCGCAGAAGAAGCACCGGCUAACUCCGUGCCAGCAGCCGCGGUAAUACGGAGGGUGCAAGCGUUAAUCGGAAUUACUGGGCGUAAAGCGCACGCAGGCGGUCUGUCAAGUCGGAUGUGAAAUCCCCGGGCUCAACCUGGGAACUGCAUUCGAAACUGGCAGGCUAGAGUCUUGUAGAGGGGGGUAGAAUUCCAGGUGUAGCGGUGAAAUGCGUAGAGAUCUGGAGGAAUACCGGUGGCGAAGGCGGCCCCCUGGAC